AGAGUUUGAUCAUGGCUCAGGAUGAACGCUGGCGGCGUGCCUAACACAUGCAAGUCGAACGAAGCACCUUUUAAGAUUCUUCGGAUGAUUGAUCGGUGACUGAGUGGCGGACGGGUGAGUAACGCGUGGGUAACCUGCCCUGUACAGGGGGAUAACAGUUGGAAACGGCUGCUAAUACCGCAUAAGCGCACGAGAGGACAUCCUUUCGUGUGAAAAACUCCGGUGGUACAGGAUGGGCCCGCGUCUGAUUAGCUGGUUGGCAGGGUAACGGCCUACCAAGGCGACGAUCAGUAGCCGGUCUGAGAGGAUGAACGGCCACAUUGGAACUGAGACACGGUCCAAACUCCUACGGGAGGCAGCAGUGGGGAAUAUUGCACAAUGGGGGAAACCCUGAUGCAGCAACGCCGCGUGAGUGAAGAAGUAUUUCGGUAUGUAAAGCUCUAUCAGCAGGGAAGAUAAUGACGGUACCUGACUAAGAAGCUCCGGCUAAAUACGUGCCAGCAGCCGCGGUAAUACGUAUGGAGCAAGCGUUAUCCGGAUUUACUGGGUGUAAAGGGUGCGUAGGUGGCAGUGCAAGUCAGAUGUGAAAGGCCGGGGCUCAACCCCGGAGCUGCAUUUGAAACUGCAUAGCUAGAGUACAGGAGAGGCUGGCGGAAUUCCUAGUGUAGCGGUGAAAUGCGUAGAUAUUAGGAGGAACACCAGUGGCGAAGGCGGCCUGCUGGACUGUUACUGACACUGAGGCACGAAAGCGUGGGGAGCAAACAGGAUUAGAUACCCUGAUAGUCCACGCCGUAAACGAUGAAUACUAGGUGUCGGGGCCGUAUAGGCUUCGGUGCCGUCGCA
rnacentral:rRNA from 1 species